AAAGGAGAAGGUUCAUGAAGGGUUAAAAUUGGCCCUAAAUUUUUGACGUUUUUAAAAUCGGGCCAAUAAAUUACAAAUUUUGCAGAGAAAUACUUGUGACAAUACUAUCAAUAUAAAAAUAUAUUUUAUUGGCACCUUCCUUUUAAAUUUAUGAAGCUAUGACCCCUGAAAUAUACAUUAUUUGUAUUUUUGGUCAAUUUUGAUCAAAUUUUU
rnacentral:lncRNA from 1 species